rnacentral:rRNA from 1 species
ACGGAAGGCAGCAGUGGGGAAUAUUGCACAAUGGGGGAAACCCUGAUGCAGCGACGCCGCGUGAAGGAAGAAGUAUCUCGGUAUGUAAACUUCUAUCAGCAGGGAAGAUAGUGACGGUACCUGACUAAGAAGCCCCGGCUAACUACGUGCCAGCAGCCGCGGUAAUACGUAGGGGGCAAGCGUUAUCCGGAUUUACUGGGUGUAAAGGGAGCGUAGACGGUGUGGCAAGUCUGAUGUGAAAGGCAUGGGCUCAACCUGUGGACUGCAUUGGAAACUGUCAUACUUGAGUGCAGGAGGGGUAAGCGGAAUUCCUAGUGUAGCGGUGAAAUGCGUAGAUAUUAGGAGGAACACCAGUGGCGAAGGCGGCUUACUGGACGGUAACUGACGUUGAGGCUCGAAAGCGUGGGGAGCAAACAGGAUUAGAUACCCUGGUA